rnacentral:rRNA from 1 species
CCUACGGGUGGCAGCAGUGAGGAAUAUUGGUCAAUGGACGAGAGUCUGAACCAGCCAAGUAGCGUGAAGGAUGACUGCUCUAUGGGUUGUAAACUUCUUUUAUAUGGGAAUAAAACGUUCCACGUGUGGGAUUUUGUAUGUACCAUAUGAAUAAGGAUCGGCUAACUCCGUGCCAGCAGCCGCGGUAAUACGGAGGAUCCGAGCGUUAUCCGGAUUUAUUGGGUUUAAAGGGAGCGUAGGUGGAUUGUUAAGUCAGUUGUGAAAGUUUGGGGCUCAACCGUAGAAUUGCAGUUGAAACUGGCAGUCUUGAGUGUAGAAGAGGUAGGCGGAAUUCGUGGUGUAGCGGUGAAAUGCUUAGAUAUCACGAAGAACACCGAUUGCGAAGGCAGCUCACUGGUCUGCAACUGACGCUGAGGCUCGAAAGUGUGGGUAUCAAACAGGAUUAGAUACCCGUGUAGUC